rnacentral:lncRNA from 1 species
GGGGGUAGAUCGAAGCUCUUUCCACAAUCAAAGGUGCAACCGGACUAUUCCAUGUUCUUGAGCAAAGGGGACAAAGCUGCUCAAGCUCGACUGGAUUUCUUUGUCUCAAUUUCUCCAGCAUGCCCAUGCACCUCUGGCCUUGAGUCAGCCAGGUCGGUGGCCAUGAGCUCCUCCAUAUGCAAGCCGAGCUCAUUGGAUCCAAGCUUCUAAGGCUCUGAAGCUUCUUUGAGCUUCCUCGCAUGCC